CCUACGGGAGGCAGCAGUAAGGAAUAUUGGUCAAUGGAGGCGACUCUGAACCAGCCAUGCCGCGUGCAGGAAGACGGCCCUAUGGGUUGUAAACUGCUUUUGAACUAGAGAAAACCUUGGUACGUGUACCGAGUUGAUAGUAUAGUUAGAAUAAGCAUCGGCUAACUUCGUGCCAGCAGCCGCGGUAAGACGAAGGAUGCAAGCGUUAUCCGGAUUCAUUGGGUUUAAAGGGUGCGUAGGCGGACUGAUAAGUCAGUGGUGAAAUCUCUCAGCUUAACUGAGAAACUGCCAUUGAUACUGUUAGUCUAGAGUACAGAUGAUGUGGGCGGAAUAUGACAUGUAGUGGUGAAAUACUUAGAUAUGUCAUAGAACACCGAUUGCGAAGGCAGCUCACAAAACUGUAACUGACGCUGAGGCACGAAAGUGCGGGGAUCAAACAGGAUUAGAUACCCUGGUAGUCCGCACCGUAAACGAUGAUUACUCGUUNUUGGCGAUAUGACAGUCAGCGACCAAGCGAAAGCGAUAAGUAAUCCACCGNGGAGGACGCCGCGACGUAGAACGACGAAGUAGAGUAGACGGCGNGGAGGACGNGCGACGGACGACGACGAGGGGAGGAGG
rnacentral:rRNA from 1 species